UUGGAGACCUCAAAUCAGGUAGGACUACCCGCUGAACUUAAGCAUAUCAAUAAGCGGAGGAAAAGAAACUAACAAGGAUUCCCCUAGUAACUGCGAGUGAAGCGGGAAAAGCUCAAAUUUGAAAUCUGGCGGUUCUUGACCGUCCGAGUUGUAAUCUAGAGAAGUGUUACCUGUGCUGGACCGUGUAAAAGUCUUCUGGAAUGGAGCAUCAUAGAGGGUGAGAAUCCCGUCUUUGACACGGACUACCUGUACAUUAUGGUGCGCUCUCAAAGAGUCGAGUUGUUUGGGAAUGCAGCUCAAAAUGGGUGGUAAAUGCCAUCUAAAGCUAAAUAUUGGCGAGAGACCGAUAGUGAACAAGUACCGUGAGGGAAAGAUGAAAAGAACUUUGGAAAGAGAGUUAAACAGUACGUGAAAUUGCUGAAAGGGAAACGCUUGAAGUCAGUCGCGUUGGCUGGAAAUCAACCUUGCUCUUGCUUGGUGUACUUUCUGGUUGACGGGUCAGCAUCAAUUUUGACCGCUGGAUAAAGUCUUUGGGAAUGUGGCAUCUUAGGAUGUGUUAUAGCCCAUUGUCGUAUACGGUGGUUGGGAUUGAGGAACUCAGCACGCCGCAAGGCCGGGUUUCGACCACGUUCGUGCUUAGGAUGCUGGCAUAAUGGCUUUAAUCGACCCGUC
rnacentral:rRNA from 4 species